UCCUGUUCAGACUAUUUAUUAGGGUAGCAAAGCAAAUUUCGCCCCCGUCUGUUAUAUAACGCAAAAGUAAAUUGUAAUUUGAAGAUAAACACGUAUUCAAAGUAAUUGCUGUAGUCAAUUUGACCGAGUUAUUUACUACUGUACUUGAAAGUCGAAUGUUGUGGUGCGAACUACAUUUCCCAUCAUCCCCAGCGGAAGUAAACUAUUGUGUCCAUAACAACUUUCAACUAUUUCCUUGUUUGUGCACUCUACAGUUCUGUCCAAACCCACGCUCACACAAGCAGUGUAUUUGAAGAGGUGCCUGCAGGAAGAAAGGAUAGAGAAGUAUAUUAUAUUAGCAGUGCCUGGCCCUCCUUUCUGAUCACCCAAGCAUUACAAAUAAUAUUGUCCACAUUUCCAGUUCAUUCUAGUACAGAGGGAUGCUUCUAAAUACUCUACAUUUUCCUAAUAUUUUAUUUCUUACCGAUUACCCCAUAUUUAUGUUACCAGUACGGUAAGGAAUUGUAUGAUUAUCAUUUUUUUAUGCAUGAAAUAACACCCUAAACAGAUUUAUAAAGUUGAGUUGCUAAUGAUAGGAUCCAAAGGGAACAUGACUUAUAAUAAUUGAAACAAUGCACAGAUGUAGUACCUAAGGUUGUAUUAGGCAUAACCAACAUCUCCCAUAUAAAUUGUGGGACCAGGUUGUAGGAAGCCGGGAGGUGCAAUGAUUGCAUGUCUACAUGGUCCAUUGCCUCCAAUCUGAAACGCAAGAUGUCUCUGGUAUUCUGGAUAUCAACCCUAGUGAUUUUUCAGACUGAUUCAUGAGGGCCGAGCCAGCACUUGUGCACAGUGACGUGGUGUGACUCUCACUGGCUUCUACACACAUUCUGUGAUUCUCUAGGUUCAAUGAAUGUGUUUCUGUAUGUCUGUUGGUGUUGUGAUUGUGUUUUUUUGUGCAUGCUUUAUGUGUGCAAAUGACGAGUGGGUUAGAUACAUUUGGAUACAAAUGAAAAGAUUAAUAAUACUUUCAUACUAGUUUAAGAUUUAGAGCAGAUAUUUUUUUUCAUGCGUAGUUAACUAGCCAAAGAAAAUCAGUUUAAUACAUUUGUGUGUCACUUAAUUUCCUCUGCCGUGCUCAGCCAGAUGCAUUAUCACAGCUCAAUCACACUUUGCCUUUAUCACCCUACCUUCACAAAUUAUAGCAGGCAAUAAUUGCUUCAUAAUGGGCAUUCAACUUAUUACUUAAGGUAAAGAGGCUAGUAGCUGCUGUUGCUAAUGGGAUUUUAAUCCUGUUACUGUUUUUUGAUUUCAGGCUGGUUUUAAGUCAGCAUGACAUUUAUAUUGAAGAGUGAUUAAUUAUUCCAGGCAUUGAUUGGGGUAAUCUAAAUUUGAAUACACUUUUGACAAAUUAAAAUAAGCUAAAUAAACAUGCACCGUAUAAUUCUCGUCUAGGUACCCAUGUGCACCCUGCACAGAUCCUUACAUCCCUUCCAGAAAACUGGAAAAAAAGUCUUGUUUUGUAUAUCAGGUCAUGUAGUUGUUGACAUCUGAAUUAUCUAUAGCAUUAAAUUUGGUCAUACACAAACACAGUGCAGAAAAAACAUCUAAGAGCAUAAUAAAAAAAUUAAAAAAUCCCCAAACAUAUUAAAAUAUAUAUUUGGGGAUUAUCUUGUAAGAAUCAACAAGGUUUGGUUUUUCAUACCUCUUUAUAGUUCAAAUCACCUUAAUAAACAAAAAUAUAAAUUUAUAUGAAAAAGUAUUGUUUUCUGUAGCACUUGUCAUGCAAGGCAGUGAAGUGGUUAAAUAAAUAUGUAUUCCAAAUUAAAUUUAUAGAUUAACAUUAAACCCAAACACCACUCUAUUAAGAAUAUUUAAAUGUGAAGAAUUUUAUUUUUAUGUCAAACAAAGUUGUUAAGUACUGUUUUCGGAAAGAAAACAGGGAAUCUGAUGACAUUGCUUUGUGUAAGAGAAUACGCUCUUAGUAUUUACAUGUUUCCCCUUGGUCACAUACUAAGAUUACAUGGCCUGAAUUAUCAUUUUAAUGCAGAUGACACCCACAUUUAUGUGCAUACUAAAUCUGAUGUUGAUGUUGCUGCCUCUGUGCUUGCUGAUUGCAUUUCUGAUAUUAAGAAUUGGAUGUCACAAAACUUUCUGCAUCUUAACUGUGACAAGACAGAGGUUAUGUUGCUAGGCACUGCCCGCCAAUUACGUAAAACCACUGCUGUAAACUUGUCAGUUGAUGGUACUAUGUUUGAGAUUAGAUCCAAAAAUGAGAAAUUUGGGAGUUAUUUUUGAUCCUGGAUUAAUUUUUGAACCUCAUGUGCAGAAUACUGUUAAGGCAUAAUUUUUCCACAUUAGAAACAUCGCUAGGGUGUGACCUAUGCUUUCUGCUUCUGUAGCUGAAAAACUGGUUCAUGCAUUUUUUUCGAGGAUUGAUUAUUGUAAUGCUGUGCUUGCAGGUGUCUCCAAAAGCACACUGUCCAAAUUACAACAUGUUCAGAACUCAGCAGCUCGUAUCCUGACAAGGUCACGUGCAAGGGAUCAUAUCACUCCUGUUCUAGAGUCCCUGCACUGCUUGCCUGUCAGGUUUCGUGUUGAUUUUAAAAUGUUACUUCUUACUUUUGAGGCUCUACAUGGUUUGGCUCCACAGUAUUUAUCUGAUCUCUUAUCAGUCUACACCCCUUCACGCAACCUUCGCUCAACUGAUCUUGGAUUGUUAUGUGCUCCCUCUGUUCACCUGCGUUCUAUCUUGGAUUGUUAUGUGUUCUCUCUGUUCACCUGCGUUCUGUCUUGGAUUGUUAUGUGUUCUCUCUGUUCACCUGCGUUCUAUCUUGGAUUGUUAUGUGUUCUCUCUGUUCACCUGCGUUCUAUCUUGGAUUGUUAUGUGUUCUCUCUGUUCACCUGCGUUCUGUCUUGGAUUGUUAUGUGUUCUCUCUGUUCACCUGCGUUCUAUCUUGGAUUGUUAUGUGUUCUCUCUGUUCACCUGCGUUCUAUCUGGGAUUGUUAUGUGUUCUCUCUGUUCACCUGCGUUCUAUCUUGGAUUGUUAUGUGCUCCCUCUGUUCACCUACGUUCUAUGGGCGACAGGGCUUUCUGUUGUUAAGCCCCAAAACUAUGGAACACCAUUCCAAAAGAGGUCAGGGAUUCUGUCACUCUUAAUGCUUUUAAAUCUAGCUUAAAGACCUACUUUUAUAGAAAGGCAUUUUUAGUUAAUAAAUCAAAUGCCUUUAGCUUCAUAAUUCAACAUGUUUUAUGUUUUUAAAUACAGUAAAAGCUGACAAAUGCAGCAGAACCUAAUAAAGUCAAUAAAAUCAAUGGGGCCUUUUAUUUACAGUAACAGUUUUUUAUGACCUAAAAUGAUUCCUAUUGGCUGAAGCACUUUCCAGUGUUCAAAGGUUUAUAUACAGUAUAUAUAUAAUGAACAAUGUUUCUAUGUGGCACUGAUACGGCAAGUGCUGUCAGACUCUCGCUUCUCAUUGAUUUUACUGUAGGCAGACAGAAGAAUAGUAGUUUAAAUCCCAUUGCUUUCAGUCCCCAACCUUUAAAAGCACCUUUUAAAAGCACAGAAUCCAUCCCAACCCAGUAGAUUCAAAGAUAGCUCUGCCAGUGUUUGUUCUAACUGUAGUACUAGACUAUUAAUUAGGUAAGAGCACAGUAAAUAAAGCUUAGUUCCUGCAAUGUAGGUCAUCUUUCAGUUGGAUAAUGUCUCUGUCUUACGUUAUGUAACACACAGACACUGUGGAGCUGUGUUUAGGUUAUCUCUUUUCAUUCAUUUGCAGAGAGCACUUUUUGACUGGAGCUUAUUUGCACAGCAUUAGGUAUUUCAGAUGGCACUUACAUAAAGUGUGCACUAGCAGCUGAAGAUGAUGAUUUUGGGUAAAGGUUUCUGACCUGUUUGCUACAGUAGUACAUUUAACACAGUGCUUACAUUAUAACAGUGUCUGCUUUAACCACUCAAAUGAAUUGUACAUUUAAUUAUGUGCUAACAGGAUCAGCUGUAAGUACCAUGUACAUAUUACGUAAAACCUAGUCAAAUGUGUGAGGCAUUCUUCUUGUCUCGCUCUCCCAAACUUUUCUUUGUGUAGGUACAUAAUACUGAUGUCCUGUGCACAGUGGUAGCCCUGUAUGAUGUAUGCCUGCCUGAAGAUGGACCUGAGGAUGUCCACUCCACUGUCUACUCACCUGGUGCCAGCACCAUUCUGCUUGUCAGGGACGAGAAAAGGAAGACUGGGAGAGGUUUAAUGGUGGAGUGAAUUAAUUCCUGCUGAAGGCGAUUGAUUGGCGUGUCCAGAGGAGGAAAGCACAGCAAAACAGAGAGAUCCUGCCUUCUGCCAUAGGGAUAGAGUCGUGGAUAGUGGCAGCUGCAACAUAUGAACUAAAACGACUGUCUGCCAGAGAAGCCAAAAUUGAAAGACUGACUUGCCAAACCAGGUGGUGGAAGUUGUAUAUGGAGUAACUACCAACCUAUCCUUGAGAACAUAUCAUGCUCCUGAAGGACCACUCAGUAUGUUGUUCUUAGGACGCCCUGCUUGUCCAUGGUGACAGAGAUGCGGUUGAAUUCUUUGCUCGCUGCAGAUUUUCUGAUGACAUCAUCCUCAACAGCAAGUUCGGUCAAUAUGAGGAUGACUGGACUAACACAAAAAUGAUGUUCCAACCUUUUCCAGUGGCUCCAGGAGAGUAAGGUCUCUGGCAGCAUACCAGGCCCAGCUGUGUGUAUGACCAGGCUGGUCCAAGAAGUUGCCACAGUUAGAAAACAGCUGGUCUCACAGAGGGAGUAGAUAGACACACUGAGCACAGAGCUGGAGAGAGAGGGAGGACAGACACCAGCUGGUUUUAGAAAGGGCAGAUGCUGUGAGCUCAACACUGGCUGGUACAACAAAGGUGUCUCACCUCAUCAUUCAGAUCCUGUGCUGUGGAAGCAUCGAGGGCCUGCUUCUUGUGUGCGUCUGCAAUCUGUGUCCCCAGGUCACCCAUCUCGUAGUCCAGGAGUCUGAAGUU